rnacentral:lncRNA from 1 species
GGAAGCACGAUGAUAGAAGAGGACUCCAGGCGCGUGUGGCUGGCCGCCAGGUCUGAGGACUUCAAAACCCUCGUCUGAGAACCUAAGGAGCCUGAAGAGAACAAACAUGGUUUUUCCAAACCAAUUUAAAUGUGGUUACAUAGAAAGAGAUCUACCGUUUGUUAAUAGGAGUUGUGGGACAACUGCUUCCUUGCUGUCCUGCAUCUUUUCAGCCCAUCUUUCAGGCAGGCUCUCCCACAAUCCAGUGGGUUUACCUGGAAUAUCCAAAACCUUCCUGCCACCUAUACACUACACUCUGCCAUGGAGAAAGGGUUACCAGAUUUAG